rnacentral:rRNA from 1 species
CCUACGGGUGGCAGCAGUGAGGAAUAUUGGUCAAUGGGCGAGAGCCUGAACCAGCCAAGUCGCGUGAAGGAAGACGGCCCUACGGGUUGUAAACUUCUUUUGCCAGGGAGCAAUUGUGUCCACGCGUGGGCAUCGCGAGAGUACCUGAAGAAAAAGCAUCGGCUAACUCCGUGCCAGCAGCCGCGGUAAUACGGAGGAUGCGGGCGUUAUCCGGAUUUAUUUGGUUUAAAGGGGGCGUAGGCGGAAUAUCAAGUCGGCGGGAAAAAUUCGGGGCUCAACCCCGUCGUGGCGUGGAGACUGAUGGUCUUGAGUGGGCGAGAGGUAUGCGGAAUGCGUGGUGUAGCGGUGAAAUGCAUAGAUAUCACGCAGAACUCCGAUUGCGAAGGCAGCAUACCGGCGCCCAACUGACGCUGAAGCACGAAAGCGUGGGUAUCGAACAGGAUUAGAUACCCUUGUAGUC